rnacentral:tRNA from 1 species
GCCGGAGUAGCUCAGUCGGAAGAGCGACGCAUUCGUAAUGCGUAGGUCCGGGGUUCGAUUCCCCGCUCCGGCUCCA